UGGGGAAUAUUGCACAAUGGGCGAAAGCCUGAUGCAGCGACGCCGCGUGCGGGAUGAAGGCCUUCGGGUUGUAAACCGCUUUUAAUUGGGAGCAAGCGAGAGUGAGUGUACCUUUUGAAUAAGCACCGGCUAACUACGUGCCAGCAGCCGCGGUAAUACGUAGGGUGCAAGCGUUAUCCGGAAUUAUUGGGCGUAAAGAGCUCGUAGGCGGUUUGUCACGCCUGGUGUGAAAGUUCAUCGCUUAACGGUGGAUCUGCGCCGGGUACGGGCAGGCUAGAGUGCAGUAGGGGAGAUUGGAAUUCCCGGUGUAACGGUGGAAUGUGUAGAUAUCGGGAAGAACACCAAUGGCGAAGGCAGAUCUCUGGGCUGUUACUGACGCUGAGGAGCGAAAGCAUGGGGAGCGAACAGGAUUAGAUACCCUGGUAGUCCAUGCCGUAAACGGUGGAUGCUGGAUGUGGGGC
rnacentral:rRNA from 1 species